CCCCUCGAGUACUAUGUAUUCAUAUACCACAUAGUAUGUCGUAGAAUGUGAUCAAUGGGAUAAUCAUAUACAACUUUCAGCAACGGAUCUCUUGGCUCUCGCAUCGAUGAAGAACGCAGCGAAAUGCGAUAAGUAAUGUGAAUUGCAGAAUUCAGUGAAUCAUCGAAUCUUUGAACGCACCUUGCGCUCCUUGGUAUUCCGAGGAGCAUGCCCGUUUGAGUGUCAUUAAAUUCUCAACCCCUCCAGCUUUUGCGAGUUGUGAUGGGGCUUGGAUAUGGGGGUUUGCGGGUCUUUAUCAAUAAAGGUCAGCUCUCCUGAAAUGCAUUAGCGGAACCGUUUGCAGUCCCGUCACUAGUGUGAUAAUUAUCUACACUGUGAUGAUUGCUCUCUGACUAGUUCAGCUGCUAACCGUCCACUACGGACAACACUUAAUGAACUUCUUGACCUCAAAUCAGGUAGGACUACCCGCUGAGCUUAAGCAUAUCAAUAAGCGGAGGA
rnacentral:rRNA from 1 species